CAGCAGCCGCCGCGGGAAUACGUAGGUGGCAAGCGUUGUCCGGAAUUAUUGGGCGUAAAGCGCGCGCAGGCGGAUCAGUUAGUCUGUCUUAAAAGUUCGGGGCUUAACCCCGUGAUGGGAUGGAAACUGCUGAUCUAGAGUAUCGGAGAGGAAAGUGGAAUUCCUAGUGUAGCGGUGAAAUGCGUAGAUAUUAGGAAGAACACCAGUGGCGAAGGCGACUUUCUGGACGAAAACUGACGCUGAGGCGCGAAAGCCAGGGGAGCGAACAGGAUUAGAUACCCGCGUAGUCCCUGUCUCUUAUACA
rnacentral:rRNA from 1 species